CCCAUUUGUGGUCAUUCCUGCUACAGUCUCCAACAAUGUCCCUGGCUCAGACUUCAGCGUUGGGGCUGACACAGCACUCAAUACUAUCUGCACAGCAAAUGUUGAACAUCUGGUGCAAAAGAUGAAAACAACUGUGAAAAGGGGCUUGGUGUUAAGGAAUGAAAAGUGCAAUGAGAACUAUACCACUGACUUCAUUUUCAACCUGUACUCUGAGGAGGGGAAGGGCAUCUUCGACAGCAGGAAGAAUGUGCUUGGUCACAUGCAGCAGGGUGGGAGCCCAACCCCAUUU
rnacentral:lncRNA from 1 species